AGGACGAACGCUGGCGGCGUGCUUAACACAUGCAAGUCGAGCGGAAAGGCCCUUCGGGGUACUCGAGCGGCGAACGGGUGAGUAACACGUGAGUAACCUGCCCCUAGCUCUGGGAUAGCUCCGGGAAACCGGGAUUAAUACCAGAUACGACCACUUUAGACAUCUGUCGUGGUGGAAAGGAUUCCGGCUAGGGAUGGGCUCGCGGCCUAUCAGCUUGUUGGUGGGGUAACGGCCUACCAAGGCGACGACGGUA
rnacentral:rRNA from 1 species